rnacentral:rRNA from 1 species
GACGAACGCUGGCGGCGUGCUUAACACAUGCAAGUCGAACGGAAAGGCUCCAGCUUGCUGGAGUACUCGAGUGGCGAACGGGUGAGUAACACGUGGGUAAUCUGCCCUGCACUCUGGGAUAAGCCUGGGAAACUGGGUCUAAUACUGGAUAUGACCUUUCUCCUUAUGGGGUUUGGUGGAAAGUUUUUCGGUGUAGGAUGAGCCCGCGGCCUAUCAGCUUGUUGGUGGGGUGAUGGCCUACCAAGGCGACGACGGGUAGCCGGCCUGAGAGGGUGAUCGGCCACAUUGGGACUGAGAUACGGCCCAGACUCCUACGGGAGGCAGCAGUGGGGAAUAUUGCACAAUGGGCGGAAGCCUGAUGCAGCGACGCCGCGUGAGGGAUGACGGCCUUCGGGUUGUAAACCUCUUUCAGCAGGGACGAAGCGUAAGUGACGGGACCUGCAGAAGAAGCACCGGCUAACUACGU